AUGGAGCGGCUGGUGGCUCCCCUGGGCAGAGGCUCCUGGAGCUGCCACGGCCCCCUCUGCCCACUCGCCCGCCGCUGUCAUCCUUUGGCCUUCACCCGUUUGGCGCGGCCCCCGCGCUGCCAGCUGAGCGAGGGGCAGAGCCGCGUCCCUCCGCCUGCGGGCGGUUACUCCUGGCAACGCGGCUGGGCCGGCUGUUGCCUCGGGCAGGGACCCAGGCGGCCGCGGGGGCCCUGUGUCUCGGUCUGUACGACAAGGGUGAACCCCUGCCCCGGCUGGCCGGCCGCCUUGCGAGGCGAAGCGGUCGCCAGAGUAAAGACAAGCGGGACUCGGGGCCGCCGCCUCCGAGAGGGCCCAAUUAGAGCGGCGAGCAGUUCCCACCGGAGGCCCUGGCUGCCCCUCAAAGCGCGGCGCGGGCCGGCGGCAGUGGCUCUGGAAGGGCUGAGGGAGCCGGGCAAGAGCCCCCAGCGUCUGCAGGCACUGCGUCCCCGGCAGGGAAGACCGCACACAUCCAGCAGCAGAAUCAUAUUCCCAGACUGGCACAACCGCCCAUGUACUCAUCUACAGCAAAAUGACACCGGAAAGGUGGACACAGGAAAGACAGCAGAACAUUCACGCCGCGAGCACCAGCCAGAGGGAAGCUGCGGCAAGCAGGGCACCGUGAGACAAAGGGGCAGAGGUGACAGCAGAUGCGGAUGGUCACCUCCGACCGCUGCAGAAGUCCCACUCAGCAGGAAACAGAGCAAUUCUAAAUUUGUAACACAGGCUCCUAUUUUAGAAAGCAAAAAUGGAUAAAACCCUAAGGUGAGACAGACAAAUCCACAGCUGUUGUGGGAGUCAUUUACCCCGUGUCUCUUCCUAUCUAUAGAGAAAUCACAGAGAUGUAGGAGACAGCGAGAGCAGGGGGAGCCCGCUUGACCUUGUGGACACACAGAGGACACAGCUUCUAACUGCAGGUGUUCCUCUUAAGCUUGCAGAAAGUGUUGACAAAAUAGUGACCGUAUGUGAUCAGCAAAGAAAACAGAGAGUGUUAAAAAGGUUGAAAUAGAGUGCGUUCUUGAACCACAACACAGCUUAGUAGAACUCAAUCACAGUUCAAUAUCAGACAAUUCCUACAGG